ACUUUACAAUGCGGGAAACCGUGAUAAGGGAACUCCGAGUGUCCGUAAAUGCGGACUGUCCGUAUGUUUAAAAAGCAUGCGAAGAAAGGGCCGGGCAAGACCGGUGCCAGCCGCCGCGGUAAUACCGGCGGCUCGAGUGGUGGCCACUAUUACUGGGCUUAAAGCGUUCGUAGCUGGGUUGUUAAGUUUCUUGGGAAAUCUACCGGCUUAACCGAUAGGCGUCCAAGGGAUACUGGCAAUCUAGGGACCGGGAGAGGUGAGGGGUACUUCAGGGGUAGGAGUGAAAUCCUGUAAUCCUUGGGGGACCACCUGUGGCGAAGGCGCCUCACCAGAACGGCUCCGACAGUGAG
rnacentral:rRNA from 1 species